rnacentral:rRNA from 1 species
UACGUAGGGUGCAAGCGUUGUCCGGAAUUAUUGGGCGUAAAGAGCUCGUAGGCGGUCUGUCGCGUCGGCUGUGAAAACUCGGGGCUCAACCCCGAACUUGCAGUGGGUACGGGCAGACUAGAGUGUGGUAGGGGAGACUGGAAUUCCUGGUGUAGCGGUGAAAUGCGCAGAUAUCAGGAAGAACACCCGUGGCGAAGGCGGUUCUCUGGGACGGUACUGACGCUGAGACGCGAAAGCGUGGGGGAGCGAACAGG